rnacentral:rRNA from 1 species
GAUGAACGCUGGCGGCGUGCCUAAUACAUGCAAGUCGAGCGAACAGACGAGGAGCUUGCUCCUCUGACGUUAGCGGCGGACGGGUGAGUAACACGUGGAUAACCUACCUAUAAGACUGGGAUAACUUCGGGAAACCGGAGCUAAUACCGGAUAAUAUAUUGAACCGCAUGGUUCAAUAGUGAAAGACGGUUUUGCUGUCACUUAUAGAUGGAUCCGCGCCGCAUUAGCUAGUUGGUAAGGUAACAGCUUACCAAGGCAACGAUGCGUAGCCGACCUGAGAGGGUGAUCGGCCACACUGGAACUGAGACACGGUCCAGACUCCUACGGGAGGCAGCAGUAGGGAAUCUUCCGCAAUGGGCGAAAGCCUGACGGAGCAACGCCGCGUGAGUGAUGAAGGUCUUCGGAUCGUAAAACUCUGUUAUUAGGGAAGAACAAAUGUGUAAGUAACUAUGCACGUCUUGACGGUAACUAAUCAGAAAGCCACGGCUAACUACGUG